GAUGAACGCUGGCGGCGUGCCUAAUACAUGCAAGUCGAGCGAAUGGAUUAAGAGCUUGCUCUUAUGAAGUUAGCGGCGGACGGGUGAGUAACACGUGGGUAACCUGCCCAUAAGACUGGGAUAACUCCGGGAAACCGGGGCUAAUACCGGAUAAUAUUUUGAACUGCAUGGUUCAAAAUUGAAAGGCGGCUUCGGCUGUCACUUAUGGAUGGACCCGCGUCGCAUUAGCUAGUUGGUGAGGUAACGGCUCACCAAGGCAACGAUGCGUAGCCGACCUGCGAGGGUGAUCGGCCACACUGGGACGGAGACACGGCCAGACCCCUACGGGAGGCAGCAGUAGGGAAUCUUCCGCAAUGGACGAAAGUCUGACGGAGCAACGCCGCGUGAGUGAUGAAGGCUUUCGGGUCGUAAAACUCUGUUGUUAGGGAAGAACAAGUGCUAGUUGAAUAAGCUGGCACCUUGACGGUACCUAACCAGAAAGCCACGGCUAACUACGUGCCAGCCGCCGCGGUAA
rnacentral:rRNA from 1 species